rnacentral:rRNA from 1 species
GACGAACGCUGGCGGCGUGCUUAACACAUGCAAGUCGAACGGUGAAGGGACCAGCUUGCUGGUUCUGGAUGAGUGGCGAACGGGUGAGUAACACGUGAGUAACCUGCCCCCUUCUUCUGGAUAACCGCAUGAAAGUGUGGCUAAUACGGGAUAUUCUGUGCCUGCCGCAUGGUGGGUGUGGGAAGGAUAUUGUUUCGGUG